AUGCAUUCCAUUUUUAUGGUUUUUGUUUUAGGACAACAACUCUGGGUGAAACUCACAGUAGAAGUCUCUCCACGCAGGGCAGCAGCUGCUCCCAGGUGUACGCAUGUACUGCACAGUCUUCUCCAUGCAUACCAUCGGCCAGCCGUCAUGCAGGUCCAUCGCAGUUUUCCCACCGACGAAGCGUUGAAAUGUGGCUAUACGGCGAGAGGAGGAGGCGACAAUUAUGUGAGGAAAGGUACUUUAGUGUGUGCUAAGCACUUCACGGAGGAUGAGAUCCGUGUCCAACCUGUUGAUCUGAAAAGUUGCGGAGACGUUAAAUCACGCGUCAAAACGGGAUGUUUGUGGUGCAGAGCAGUAAAUGUCGAGGAGCACGAUUACAACAGCUGUCCAGUCCCAGAUGUAACGUUUAAUGUAACACAUGGUAGCAGUUAUGCUAACAGUCGAGCAGUGCUCUUGCUGAGGCAUGGGAAAAAUAAAGGAGCUGGAAAAACACCUGCUAGUGACAUCAGCAUCAUCUACACACCUGCUAGUGACAUCAACAUCAUCUACACACCUGCUAGUGACAUCAGCAUCAUCUACACACCUGCUAGUGACAUCAACAUCAUCUACACACCUGCUAGUGACAUCAGCAUCAUCUACACACCUGCUAGUGACAUCAGCAUCAUCUACACACCUGCUAGUGACAUCAGCAUCAUCUACACACCUGCUAGUGACAUCAGCAUCAUCUUCACACCUGCUAGUGACAUCAGCAUCAUCUACACACCUGCUAGUGACAUCAACAUCAUCUACACACCUGCUAGUGACAUCAGCAUCAUCUACACACCUGCUAGUGACAUCAGCAUCAUCUACUCACCUGCUAGUGACAUCAGCAUCAUCUACACACCUGCUAGUGACAUCAGCAUCAUCUUCACACCUGAUAGUGACAUCAUGCUCCUCCUCACCUGCUAGUGACAUCAGCAUCAUCUACACACCUGCUAGUGACAUCAGCAUCAUCUACUCACCUGCUAGUGACAUCAGCAUCAUCUACACACCUGCUAGUGACAUCAGCAUCAUCUUCACACCUGAUAGUGACAUCAUGCUCCUCCUCACCUGCUAGUGACAUCAGCAUCAUCUACACACCUGCUAGUGACAUCAGCAUCAUCUUCACACCUGCUAGUGACAUCAGCAUCAUCUACACACCUGCUAGUGACGUCAGCAUCAUCUUCACACCUGCUAGUGACAUCAGCAUCAUCUACUCACCUGCUAGUGACAUCAGCAUCAUCUACUCACCUGCUAGUGACAUCAGCAUCAUCUACACACCUGCUAGUGACAUCAGCAUCAUCUACACACCUGCUAGUGACAUCAGCAUCGUCUACACACCUGCUAGUGACAUCAGCAUCAUCUACUCACCUGCUAGUGACAUCAGCAUCGUCUACACACCUGCUAGUGACAUCAGCAUCGUCUACACACCUGCUAGUGACAUCAGCAUCGUCUACACACCUGCUAGUGACAUCAGCAUCAUCUACACACCUGCUAGUGACAUCAGCAUCGUCUACACACCUGCUAGUGACAUCAGCAUCAUCUACACACCUGCUAGUGACAUCAGCAUCGUCUACACACCUGCUAGUGACAUCAGCAUCGUCUACACACAUGCUAGUGACAUCAGCAUCAUCUACUCACCUGCUAGUGACAUCAGCAUCAUCUACACACCUGCUAGUGACAUCAGCAUCAUCUACUCACUUGCUAGUGACAUCAGCAUCAUCUACACACCUGCUAGUGACAUCAGCAUCAUCUACACACCUGCUAGUGACAUCAGCAUCAUCUACUCACUUGCUAGUGACAUCAGCAUCAUCUACACACCUGCUAGUGACAUCAGCAUCAUCUACUCACCUGCUAGUGACAUCAGCAUCAUCUACACACCUGAUAGUGACAUCAGCAUCAUCCACACACCUGCUAGUGACAUCAGCAUCAUCUACUCACCUGCUAGUGACGUCAGCAUCAUCUUCACACCUGCUAGUGACAUCAGCAUCAUCUACACACCUGAUAGUGACAUCAGCAUCAUCCACACACCUGCUAGUGACAUCAGCAUCAUCUACUCACCUGCUAGUGACGUCAGCAUCAUCUACACACCUGCUAGUGACAUCAGCAUCAUCUACACACCUGCUAGUGACAUCAGCAUCAUCUACACACCUGCUAGUGACAUCAUGCUUCUCUUCACCUGCUAGUCUGCUUUGUGAUAAGCAAAUUUUAUAAAAAUUUAACUCUUUACUUUUACUUAUGAUCUGCAAUAUCGUUUCAGAUUCUGAACACAUCAGAAAUCACCAACCCCUCCUGACAUAUCUUUCCAGUUUGGGGUACAAUUAGAUGGCAAUCCAAGAUGGCAGCAUGUCCAAACCGUCUACAUUUCUGUCUCUGUCUGUGUGAUUGUCAUCAAUGUUAUUGUCUCUUGAUGGUGCUGUCUCUGAAAUAUUGGACUUGCUUCGAGUAAACUAGGUUACUGUCUUUGAUUUGUAAAUAGACAGUUAAUCUGGCAGGCGAACACGGCAAGUGGUUUACAGGCACUGUGCUGGGACUAAUCUACACUGGCCGUUUUCUGUUCAUCGCUAACGUUCUAUAAGGAACCAGUCCAUCACACAUCGAACUUGGAUUUAAUUGAAGUGAAACUUACUCUCUUGACGUUUCGGAUGACCUGGACCGCCCUGUCAGUGCGGAACUUGGACCCUGUUCAACGCAGCCAAAUCGCCGACAUGCCUUCGAAUCUUACGUGUCCAAACUUCUCAUGAGAAAGGGAAGUGCUUUUUUCUUGUCUUUGCGCCUUGUGCUUGAAUCUGUAUCUUUGUUGUUUUAAAAUCUGGCGGGUCCUGAUUUUUGAUCACUUCUUUCACAGCAUUGCUUCAUUGGGCUUGUUUGCAACGUCAUCUGUCUCAGGAGGUCGGA
ensembl:lncRNA